rnacentral:lncRNA from 1 species
GUGCCUCCCACUGCACAUGUUGGGGCCUGAACAGGGUCUUCCAGAAGUCAGACGGCUCCUGCAUCUGCCAGGCACGACAUGAGUCCUCCGACGAGAGGGGCCUGCAGAGCGACGAGAGUGAUGGUGCUGAGGACUGCCAGCCCCAGCUGCCGGUGUUGGCAGUACGUCUCAGCAGAAGAGCUCUGUGAUGCCCGGUGUCUGGCCAGGGCCCCCCAGCUCUCCCUGGCCUGGGGCUCCAACAGAGAGCUGAUCCUGAGUGUGAAGGGCGAGGCCGGAGACAGCAUCCAGAGGGAAGUAGCCAGCGCUCUGGGCCCAGACCCAUCCUUCCAAGGGAGCGCCAGGGUCCAUCUGGUCCAGUGUGGCCCCCACGGCAUCUUCGCCCUUGUCAUCUCCAGCAUGGCCAUGCCUGGCUCCCUCCUUGGACCACCUGUGUCCAGCUCCCGGCUGCAAAGGCGUCGCUGGACUGCAGGCCCGGCAUACCCUGUUCCCCAGGCCCCCAGCAUCCCUCCCCACAUUCCAAACCCAGUGAUCUGCUUGAUAGAAGAGGACGUGAUUCUUUUCCAGCUUCAGAUUCACCCUGACAGUGAGUCUGCCCCUCGGCCCCGCCCUCCCGCUCUGGCUCCCUCAUCCCUCCCUGUCCGUCUGCCCGGUGACAUCACGUACAUACCGUGCCUUCAAAGUAGCGGGGCACAGGCCGGUGCUGUCCCCUGCUCUCAGCCUGUUCGGUCACUUCCCUGGGGGCCUUCAUUCCAUAUCUUGAGCAGAUGUUUCAGCUCCAGCAUUCUGAGACUCCUGCAGCCCGUGGAGGUGUCAGACUUCUGUGCCUUGGGGGGAAUGGAUUUUGAGGAGAAAAAACAUGGGGCAGAGAGAUCGCCCAGCCAGUCACUACCGCGUGUACCAGAAGCAGCACCGGUUCAACAGCAACCCCCACUGGGACUUCGGGGCCUUCAGGAGGCUCGGCCACCUAGUGCGAGAGACUCAGGUCAACUUCUCCAGGUUUGUCCACCAGUUCUUAGAUCCGGGCACAUACGUGUUUCGAGACAAUGCACUUCCCGAGAGCAUUGUGGUGGUGUCGGUGAAAGAGAAGGGGAUAGCCUGUGGCCCUGGCCUGUCCUCUGUGCAGCCCUGCUCCCCGUACCAGCUCUCCAGGCAUGGCAUCGUCAGGCACAGGCUGCCAACUCUGGGCCCAGACUGGGCAGUGAUCACAGGGGUGCUGCUGGCUGUUGGCUUGGCAACUGCGCUGCUGACAGGCCUGGGCCUUGUGCUGAGCCCCCCACUGGCCCAGACCUGCCCCGUCAGAGCUUGGAGACUCCGGGAGAGGGGCCUCAGGGAGCCUCACGUGCCUGCUGACUGCGUGCGUCUCCGGGACAGAGCCGACGCUCCUCCCAGCAUCUCUGCCCUCCUCGGCCCCUGAUCCUGCUGCAGAGCUCUGAGGGGAGGAGGGAAGUGGCUGCGCCUGCACCCCUGGGCCCAGUGCCCUGCUCCUGGCUCCUGUUCAUCUCAGUCUCACUCCAAGGCCUCUUCCUGCAGGGGAGCCACACCCUGUGAACACCCUAGAGGACUUCAGCGUCCGCACACUCUAUGACAAGCUUGAGGACCAGAGCCUGCACUUGGUGGCCCAGCUGAGCAAGCACAGGAGCGACGCACUGGCCUUCUACAGGGGCGCCAGCCAGCAACUCCAGGGGCUCAAGUUCAGCCCCAAUUCCCAGACAACCAAGCCACUAUCAUCCCCACUGCCCUGGGGAACAGCCACUCAGCCCCAUCUGGAAAUUGCCUGAGCCAAGAAGGACACUCAUAAUGCAGCCCUGGUUCUUCCAGGACUUUCUGCAGGGCCUCAGCAUGACCGAGCGGCAAGAUAUGGGCAGAGGUGGAGACCUGGAGAUGGGAGCCAAAGCCACUGCCAGGACAGACACUGGGCAGAGAGAGGAAUGGUGCAGUGGUCACACUGCGGCUUCUCCAAGGGUGCGCUGGCAGCAUCCUCUAGGUGAGAGGCAGGGCCUCGGGGUGGGGCUGUGACACUAGCUGGAAAGUCACAAUAUUAACUCUAACUUUGUAGAGCGCCUGACUGUGCAUCUCACAUUUACCAUCUCGCCUGGUGUUCAGCACUCCUGUGCAGUAACUGACAGCAUCGACCCUGAUCACAGAAGACUGUUCUGGGCCCAGGGAGGGGCGUGAUUUGCAAGGGAGGGGAGACUCCGAUGCCUCAUGUCAGAGUGAGGUCUGGCCCAGCUCUCCUGCUGCCAUGCCCACCGCCGUGCUCUAGGGCUGGCCUUGUGCAGGGCGCCAGGGUGACAGGGGCCCAAAGGCUCUUGGCAGUCUCCCUAGUUUAUACUUUAGCUUUGUUUUUCUAAAUGGCAAAAGUCAUACACACCCCUUACAGUUCCAUUAGUGCAGAAAGUAUAUAAAUGGGAAGCUGGAAUCCACUUGCCCUGGCAGCCCGGCAGCCCCACAGGUCUGUAAGCGAAUAUUCUGAACGUUCAUUUGCUCUUUUGUGAACCCCAUGGAAGGCCCCUCCCACAACAGCUGAUUCUCUGAAAUGCUCCUGCCCCCAGGUGACUCUAGAGCUUUUCCAGGUUGUCGAGGCUUCUUCCUGCAGGACGUGGGGGUUGAGCUUCACUGCAGGGAAGCAUGUGUUCAGUGCCCACUGAGGCUCCCAGAGUGUGGCAGGACGGGGAUGGUGUGGAGGGACAUCCCUGGCCGUCUGCAUGCUCUCUGGCUUCAGCCAAACUCAGAGAUUACAGAGCCCAAAACCAGGCAUCACCCUGGGCAGUUCUGGCGGACGACAGCUGUGGGUGUGCAGUCCCCCAGCUACCCCUAAAUGGCCCUCACGUCCACAUGUUUGGGCCACUGAACAAAGCACAGCUCCGACUGCCAUGGAGGGUGACCCUGCCUUCAUGUUGUAAGUGGUCUGAGUCCGUCACCCCCCUUUGCUUCUGGCCCCUCUCCCACCCUGUGAGUGCCCAGCAGGGGCCAGCCUGGGGAGGGAAGGGCGUCCGCAGCUGCUGUGUGCAAGGCCGUGUCAUAGUCCCCGCAGGCAGGGAAGUCCAGGACUUAGGGCUCUGUGGUCCCCUCACCCAGCAACUCUGACCAGCCAGUCCCACCCUCAGCUCCCACUGGCAGCGGCUGCACACUGCCGGAGACUCUGCAAGCCCCUCCUGUGCUCUGAGACAGGGGGAGCGUUCGUGCCUCCCUGGCCAGGAUCUGUGGGCGCUGGAGGAGACUGUUCCCUUCUAGGAACAAACAGCCGUGCGCUCAGCAAGGACUCCCCAGCCCCAUAGCGUGAUCCGUGAAGGCCUAACCUCAAGGCAGGAAAAUCCAAGGUCGUUGCCGCAGGUCAUCCAUGUUUGAAUCCACACCUCAGCAUAAAAACAGCUGAUCUUCCGUCUCCUGGAGCAGCUUGUCAGACAGCAGAUUGUUGGCUUCUUAGAAACCAGUGGGUUGCAACUAGCAUUAAAAAAAUAAACUAGAAAGGAAUAAAAUUGAAACUGUUGGA